CUCUGUCAGUUUUGCAUGGUUGCGCUGCAAGAAGAAAUAAGUUGUGCAAAUCUAUGCAAAACUGACAGCGGU
rnacentral:pre_miRNA from 13 species